GCCGGGGUGGCGGAACUGGCAGACGCACGGGACUUAAAAUCCUGCGAGAGUAAAAUCUCGUACCGGUUCGAUUCCGGUCCUCGGCACCA
rnacentral:tRNA from 1 species